AGAAGGGGAUCCGCAUACCUGACCUCUAAAGAGAAACUUAGAGAGUGAAGAUUCACUUCACUACGUUAAAUUUAUCGUAAGGUUUGAGCUCGCUUUCAACAAUUUAUGACCUCAUAUUAUCAUUGAAGUCUGAUCUUAGAUCUUCGGAGUCGUUUCCCAAACCCUCUUCAUUUUCAUUAGAAUUUGCAUUGUAUUUGUAACCCUAACCACUUUUGUAACCGUUCUAGAGUCACAAUUUCAAUAUAUUGAAAUAAUCUGGUCCAUAUGUCCCUAUAUCCUGAAGAUUAACCGCAUUCUAGGAGAAACCUAAAACUUUUCAUUUACUAGUCGCAUAAUCCGUUUCCCAGUGCACAACCCCAGAAAGAUCAACUCUAAACGGCUUGGUCUGUUUAACUUGUACCGAGAGGUGGUUUGAUUUUGAUCUACCCAGACAGCAUUAUGGUGAGCUAAUGAGAGUUUUUUUUCUGGUUGUAACACGUGGAGGAUUCCACGUAAGGAAUGGGAUCAACUGGAAAGGACAAGUUUUCUCAAAGAUGGCGGAACCACACUCAAAAAAAGAAUGGAAGUACAUUAAGAAUGUCGUUGAAGCAGUAGCACGGCAGGGGACUGGGUGAACUGUGGAGAAAGGGCUCAGUUCAGAUGUGACAGAAGGCCUGGCCUUGGAGCCUUCAAGGAUUAUGCGAAAGCGGAUGGAUUCGAAUGUGUGCGCAAACGGUAGCGUCUCUAAUUACAGGAACAAGUCGCAGAAGACCUCUAAUGGCUUGCUUGUCCCUUAGCUUCACGUUUCUUCUUUCAUUGUACCUUUUCUUUUUC